GCUUACGGCCAUACCAGCCUGAAUACGCCCGAUCUCGCCUGAUCUCGGAAGCUAAGCAGGGUCGGGCCUGGUUAGUACUUGGAUGGGAGACCGCCUGGGAAUACCAGGUGCUGUAAGCU
ensembl:rRNA 5S_rRNA 5S ribosomal RNA